rnacentral:rRNA from 1 species
AUUGAACGCUGGCGGCAGGCCUAACACAUGCAAGUCGAGCGAGCGGCGGACGGGUGAGUAAUGUCUGGGAAAAUGCCUGAUGGAGGGGGAUAACUCCUGGAAACGGUAGCUCAUAUCGCAUACCAUCAGAUAUGCCCAGAUGGGAUUAGCUAGUAGGUGGGGGAACGGCGCACCUAGGCGACGAUCCCUAGCUGGUCUGAGGGGAUGACCAGACACACGGGAUGAGAGACAGGGUCCAGACCCCUGCGAGGGAGAGGAGGGGGGAAUAUGGCAAAAGGGGCGCAAGCGUGAUGGAGACGUGCCGCGUGUGUGAAGAGGGCCUUGGUGGUGUAGAGCACUUUCAAAGGGAAGGCGUUACUAGCAGAAGAAGCACCGGCAAACUCCGUGCCAGCGGCCGCGUAAUAC